UUGCAUUUUCUCUUUCGGAAUUGAAACCCCCAGUUUCAAUCUUCAUCAUUUUUUAGAACCAACGAUUCGAAAUUUCCCAAACCCCAGCUUCGUGCACUAACACAGAGUCGUUUCCAAAUCGCCAUCCUAAAUCCCACUUCCAAAUUUGUUCCCAAAUUUGUUUGUUCUUCAAAUACCUGAGGAUUCCGAGUCCCCAAAUCGCGUUUGCAAAACGUGACUCCAAAAAGUUGGGGACUUGAACACUGUUCAACGUUGUUCGCUGCUGCGAGGCCAUUUAGCUUUGGUGGCAAGUUGACUCAAACGGGCAACGCAAGGAAAUCUCCACUAAUUGACCAUUACCAGGUUAGAAAACAAUUCCAACCCAUAAAAAACACCCUGGAGUUGUCACCCUCACCUUCCAUGAAGAGACUCGUAGAGAGGCCAGCGUUAUGGCUGCCACAGCGUUAUGCUGCCACAGCGUUAUGCUGCCACUGCUAGGUACACCGAUGCUGUGAGAGUUGCCACUGAUAGAGGCGCCAAGCAGCCGUGAGGUCUGUCCACGUAUUAUCCCUUACACUGGGAGGGAUUGCAUCGGGAGGCUGCUAGAGAAGCACAAUCGCAAGCUGUGUCCGCUUCUUCCUCGCUGUUGGGAGGAACUGCAUCGCAAGAAGCAUUCCACACGAGUUGCAAUUUGGAAUGGGAUUGUGAGUUUUAAGUGAAGUGAGAUUGGAGUGGGAUAAGAAGAACAUCCCUUGGCACAGGACAAACCAGGAAAAGAGAAGAACCUCAUGAGUGUUAUGCCAUCCAUAUGAUGGCACAACUUGGAAGCACUUUGAUCUUGUACAUCUAGAUUUUUC
rnacentral:sRNA from 1 species